CCUACGGGGGGCAGCAGUGGGGAAUAUUGCACAAUGGGGGAAACCCUGAUGCAGCAACGCCGCGUGAGCGAUGAAGGCCUUCGGGUCGUAAAGCUCUGUCCUAAGGGAAGAAUACUGACGGUACCUUAGGAGGAAGCCCCGGCUAACUACGUGCCAGCAGCCGCGGUAAUACGUAGGGGGCUAGCGUUAUCCUGAAUUACUGGGCGUAAAGGGUGCGUAGGCGGCCCUUCAAGUCAGAGAUGAAAGGCUACGGCGCAACCCUGGUAAGCAGUUGAAACUGUAGGGCUUGCGUGCAGGAGGGGAGAUUGGAAUUCCCUGUGUAGCGGGGAAAGGCGUAGAUAUUGGGAAGAACACCCGGUAGGGAGGCUGCUUUCUGGACUGGAAUUGACGGUGAGGCACGAAAGCGUGGGGAGCGAAUCGGAGUAGAUACCCUUGUAGUC
rnacentral:rRNA from 1 species